UCUAAUUAGUGACGCGCAUGAAUGGAUUAACGAGAUUCCUACUGUCCCUAUCUACUAUCUAGCGAAACCACAGCCAAGGGAACGGGCUUGGAAUAAUUAGCGGAGAAAGAAGACCCUUUUGAGCUUGACUCUAAUCUGGCAGUGUAAGGAGACAUAAGAGGUGUAGAAUAAGUGGGAGAUAUUAGACCUCGGUUUGGUAUCGUCAAUGAAAUACCACUACUCUUAUUGUUUCCUUACUUACUUGAUUAAAUGGAACGUGUAUCAUUUCCUAGCCAUUAUACGGAUAUAUUUAUUAUAUCUUAUGGUAUUGGGUUUUGAUGCAAGCUUCUUGAUCAAAGUAUCACGAGUUUGUUAUAUAAUCGCAAACAAAUUCUUUAAUAAAACGAUGCAUUUAUGUAUUUUUGAUUUGAAAAUUUGGUAUAACUCCAAUUACUCAGGUAUGAUCCAAUUCAAGGACAUUGCCAGGUAGGGAGUUUGACUGGGGCGGUACAUCUCUCAAAUAAUAACGGAGGUGUCCCAAGGCCAGCUCAGUGCGGACAGAAACCACACAUAGAGCAAAAGGGCAAAUGCUGACUUGAUCUCGGUGUUCAGUACACACAGGGACAGCAAAAGCUCGGCCUAUCGAUCCUUUUGGUUUAAAGAGUUUUUAACAAGAGGUGUCAGAAAAGUUACCAUAGGGAUAACUGGCUUGUGGCGGCCAAGCGUUCAUAGCGACGUCGCUUUUUGAUCCUUCGAUGUCGGCUCUUCCUAUCAUUGUGAAGCAAAAUUCACCAAGCGUUGGAUUGUUCACCCAUGCAAGGGAACGUGAGCUGGGUUUAGACCGUCGUGAGACAGGUUAGUUUUACCCUACUAAUGACAAAACGUUGUUGCGACAGCAUUCCUGCGUAGUACGAGAGGAACCGCAGGUACGGACCAAUGGCACAAUACUUGUUCGAGCGAACAGUGGUAUGACGCUACGUCCGUUGGAUUAUGCCUGAACGCCUCUAAGGUCGUAUCCGUGCUGGACUGCAAUGAUAAAUAAGGGGCAAUUUGCAUUGUAUGGCUUCUAA
rnacentral:ncRNA from 1 species